GCUGGUUCAGAAGGAAGGUGGAGGAGCUCCGGGCAGUGCUUGUAGGGUUACUGGGGUGAUGAGAAGUCGGAGCACACAGAAUGCCCUGAAGAAGCGGGGUGUUAGAUAAGGAGGCAGGAGGUAUAGGGAAGUAUCCUGGCACGCGGGGGUUUCAUCUUCCACGGCAGGGGACAACGUGUAAUAUCCCAGUGACUCUGGGAGAAAAACGGAAACUGUACUGAGGAUUUGGACAGCAAGUGACUGGCCAGGAAACAGACUAGUGGUUAGAGUAAGAAAAUCAAGGAACUGCAGUGAUCGAACUGUGCACCAGCUGCCCAUCAGCUGUACUUGAAGUGAAGUUAGAGUAUUGAACCCGUGUGACAGUGUUUGAGUACAAGUCCCGCCCAGAUGCCCCCAAAACAAAAGCAUAUGUAAAUGCUCUGAACAACACAAAGCUUACAGCUAGUAAAUACACAAGAUCGCUCUGGUUUAAAAUACAGCAUAGAUUUUGUACCGACCUCUGCUGUCAGUCUUCAUUGAAAGUGACAGGUAUUUCAGUGGGAUUGGUUUUGACAGUUUCAAUGACACCCACAGCUUGUGAUGUGGAAUUAUAAAUCCUGUAGCUGACAGCCACAACACAGGUGGGAGAGUGACUCCCAGGAGACUAAGUUGGUUUAAAAAAAAAUACAUACCACACUGAGGUACAGAUUUGAAACAAAGAAUGAGGUAAUUUUAUUUUUCCUUCACAGGCUCCUGUGUGCUCUGCAGCCUGGAUCAUACAUAGAAUGUUCGAUCAGGACAGAGCCAUAGCAAGGAUGGUAUAAGCCUCUCACUGGACCGAAGAAGAGCAAGGCAGGCUGAAGAGAACCGUGCAUCCUAAUGUGGAGCACUCACACAGCUGAAGGCAGAGCCUGAGGAGGCACAGGAGGACCUGUCCCUGAGGGGCGCACGGAGCCAGGACCCUCUGACAGCCACGGCCUGCGUUCAUCCUUCCUGGGAGACUGUGGUUUACCAUGAAUGAGAACGAUUGGUCAUCUCCCAGCCCGGACACUCGUGACCCUGGCCCAAGUCACCCUGCGGUGCUCACUGACGCACAGCGCCUCAGCU